rnacentral:rRNA from 1 species
GGAUGAAGGCCUUCGGGUUGUAAACCGCUUUCAGCAGGGACGAGGCGAAAGUGACGGUACCUGCAGAAGAAGCCCCGGCUAACUACGUGCCAGCAGCCGCGGUAAUACGUAGGGGGCAAGCGUUAUCCGGAUUCAUUGGGCGUAAAGCGCGCGUAGGCUGCCCAGUAGGUCGAGAGUUAAAUCCGGGGGCUCAACCCCCGUCCGCUCCCGAUACCGCUGGGAUUCGAGUCUGGUAGGGGAAGGUGGAAUUCCCAGUGUAGCGGUGGAAUGCGCAGAUAUUGGGAAGAACACCGGUGGCGAAGGCGGCCUUCUGGGCCAUGACUGACGCUGAGGCGCGAAAGCUAGGGGAGCGAACAGGAUUAGAUACCCUGGUAGUCCUAGCCGUAAACGAUGGGCACUAGGUGUGGGGAGGCUUUACUUUCCGUGCCGACGCUAACGCAUUAAGUGCCCCGCCUGGGGAGUACGGCCGCAAGGUUAAAACUCAAAGGAAUUGACGGGGGCCCGCACAAGCAGCGGAGCAUGUGGCUUAAUUCGAAGCAACGCGAAGAACCUACCAGGGCUGACACUCAGAUGA